rnacentral:rRNA from 1 species
CAGUAGCCACGGUAAUACGUAGGUGGCAAGCGUUGUCCGGAAUUAUUGGGCGUAAAGCGCGCGCAGGCGGAUCAGUCAGUCUGUCUUAAAAGUUCGGGGCUUAACCCCGUGAUGGGAUGGAAACUGCUGAUCUAGAGUAUCGGAGAGGAAAGUGGAAUUCCUAGUGUAGCGGUGAAAUGCGUAGAUAUUAGGAAGAACACCAGUGGCGAAGGCGACUUUCUGGACGAAAACUGACGCUGAGGCGCGAAAGCCAGGGGAGCGAACGGGAUUAGAUACCCGGGUAGUCCCUGUCUCUUAUACA